rnacentral:misc_RNA from 1 species
CUGGAACUGUGUCCGCAAGGACACAACCCCAGAUACCCUUUGUGAACUUAUACCUUUAUAUCGUUGCCUCGGCGCUGAGCUGGGAGCACAUUGUGUGCUCUCCCAUGAUUUUCCGCUUGUCGGAACGUUAUGGAGCAAGCCCGCCGGCGGCCCAUUUAACUCUUUAUUUUUAUAAUUAUCUCUCUGAGUUUUUAAACAUAAAUGAAUCA